ACAAGAAAAUAAAAUUCACUGAGAAAACAUUGAACCAAGAACAUAAACACAAGCACUGAAGAAACAGAGUGAAGUAGUAAAUUGAUGGCUUCAGAAGAAGAGAGCGCUGUGAAGGAGCCUUUGAAUCUCAUAUGGCUUAGCCUCGACGAGCGUAUCUACGUCAAGCUCCGUUCUGACAGAGAGCUUCGCGGCAAACUUCACACUACAAAGCGUACAGUUCCUUUUCUGUUUGUUAGGGGAGAUGGGGUGAUAUUGGUUUCCCCUCCACUGAGGACUACAUGACAUGAACCAAUGAACUAUGUGAUCAGUUUAAUAACAAUUGUCACUGUUUAUGAAAUUGUAUAUCUAUAACUUAAGUAGUGAUCUCAUUUGUUAUGAUUAGAAUAGUUACUUAAUUGGCUUGUGUGCUAGAGAUUUCAGUUAGACAGUCAGCUUUUUAUUAUCUUUAUAGCACGAGAGAAUCAUGGCAUGCUCAUAAACAAGGAUUUUAACUAUCAAGGGAGCUUAAUUCAUUUGGAACAAUGCAUGUGAGUUGUUCCCUUGGUACCUGUCAUUGACAAUGUUAUCAAUGGCGGAUGAUGGAACACAGUGGAAGGCCAAAAUUCUGCCGUAUAAGCAUGCCGUUGAGGCCUAUGACACUGCCAUGGCAGACCUCCCUUCACAAAUUAUUUAUGGUGGUUGGCAAAAAAACUGUCAUGCCAUUCUGCCAUGGCAGCCAUAGCGCUGUCAUUAAAUAACACUGAUCUUAGAUUCCUAUAAAUAAAUAAAAAAAUUUAGAUGCAUGGUGGAGUUGUUGGUACAUAUUAGUAGCUCCAUAUAAAGUGCAGGCCAUGAUUCUUGA